GAUUCCUACGGGAGGCAGCAGUAGGGAAUUUUCGGCAACGGGGGAAACCCUGACCGAGCAACGCCGCGUGAAUGAAGAAGUAUUUCGGUAUGUAAAGUUCUUUUAUUGAGGAAGAAUGUCUAGGUUAGGAAAUGAACUUAGAGUGACGGUACUCAAUGAAUAAGCCCCGGCUAACUAUGUGCCAGCAGCCGCGGUAAUAAU
rnacentral:rRNA from 1 species